rnacentral:rRNA from 1 species
UACGGAGGGUGCAAGCGUUAUCCGGAUUCACUGGGUUUAAAGGGUGCGUAGGUGAGCAGGUAAGUCAGCGGUGAAAUCCCCGAGCUUAACUUGGGAACUGCCAUUGAUACUAUCUGUCUUGAAUACCUUGGAGGUGAGCGGAAUAUGUCAUGUAGCGGUGAAAUGCUUAGAUAUGACAUAGAACACCAAUUGCGAAGGCAGCUCACUACACGGUCAUUGACACUGAGGCACGAAAGCGUGGGGAUCAAACAGG